AAACGCUGAAGAUAAUUUAGCAUACGCUGCCUAAUGGCAGCAGUCUGACCUAGAGCACUCACACUUUAGGACCCAGGCUUCGACUAUGUGAGAAACGACGCAGGCAAAGCUUUGAGCCUGCGGGCGUACGAUGAAGCUACUGAAACCGGAACUGUGCCUACGCAGGUCUGGCAGAGGGAAUGUUAAAACAUAGGAUACGCUCGUAGAAGGACAGGGGAUUGGUUUUUGGACACGGGUUCGACUCCCGUCAGGUCCACUC
rnacentral:tmRNA from 1 species